rnacentral:rRNA from 1 species
AGGAGAGUUUGAUCCUGGCUCAGGAUGAACGCUGGCGGCGUGCUUAACACAUGCAAGUCGAACGGAGCCAAGAGAUGCUUGCAUCUCUGAAGCUUAGUGGCGGACGGGUGAGUAACGCGUGAGUAACCUGCCCUUUACCGGGGGAUAACACUUAGAAAUAGGUGCUAAUACCGCAUAAGCGCACAGAGCCGCAUGGUUCAGUGUGAAAAACUCCGGUGGUAAAGGAUGGACUCGCGUCUGAUUAGCCAGUUGGCAGGGUAACGGCCUACCAAAGCGACGAUCAGUAGCCGGCCUGAGAGGGUGAACGGCCACAUUGGGACUGAGACACGGCCCAAACUCCUACGGGAGGCAGCAGUGGGGGAUAUUGCACAAUGGGGGAAACCCUGAUGCAGCGACGCCGCGUGAGUGAAGAAGUAUUUCGGUAUGUAAAGCUCUAUCAGCAGGGAAGAAAAUGACGGUACCUGACUAAGAAGCCCCGGCUAACUACGUGCCAGCAGCCGCGGUAAUACGUAGGGGGCAAGCGUUAUCCGGAUUUACUGGGUGUAAAGGGAGCGUAGACGGCAUGGCAAGUCUGAUGUGAAAGGUGCGGGCUCAACUCGUAAACUGCAUUGGAAACUGUCACGCUAGAGUGCAGGAGAGGUAAGCGGAAUUCCUAGUGUAGCGGUGAAAUGCUCAGAUAUUAGGAGGAACACCAGCGGCGAAGGCGGCUUACUGGACUGUAACUGACGUUGAGGCUCGAAAGCGUGGGUAGCAAACAGGAUUAGAUACCCUGGUAGUCCCU